rnacentral:rRNA from 1 species
GUCUGUGGCCAUGUCACCCUAAACACACCUGAUCUCAUCUGAUCUCGGAAGAUAAGCAGAGUCGGGCCCGGUUAGUACUUGGAUGGGAGGCCACCUAGGAAGACCAGGUGCUCUAGGCA